rnacentral:rRNA from 1 species
GAAUAAAAAAAUGUUAAGAUUUUUUUAAUUAUAGAAUAUUAAAUUAAAUGUAUUAUAUGAGUUAAUCCUCUAAUAUUAAUUUAUUAAAAUAAUUUAAUAUUAAGUAUAUCUAUAUAUUAAAAUUAUAUUUAAAUUUAAUUAAAUUAAGAAUUAACUAUGUUAAAAUUAGUAUAUAUUUUUUGUUUUAUUAAGGAACUCGGCUAAUUAUUAUUCACCUGUUUAUCAAAAACAUAGUCUUAUGUAUUUAUAUAAGGUGAAACCUGCCCACUGAUGUUAAAUUUAAUGGCCGCAGUACCUUGACUGUGCUAAGGUAGCAUAAUAAAUUGACUUUUAAUUGGGGCCUUGAAUGAACGGAUAAAUGGAUAAUUUCUGUCUCAAUAAAAAAUUUAUAAGUUACUUAAAAGGUGAAAAUUCCUUUAAAUAAAUUAAAUAGACGAGAAGACCCUAGGAGUUUUUAAUUUUGUUGGGGCGACAGUAUAGCAUUAUAACCUAUAUAUAAAUAUUUAUAUAAAACGAAUAAUUUUAAUAAUAAAUAAACUACCCUAGGGAUAACAGCAUAAUUUAAUUUUAAGUUUGUGACCUCGAUGUUGGACUAGGGACUUUUAAAGCUAACAGUGUUAAUUGACAGUUCUGUUCGA